GUCUAAGGCCAUACCACCCUGAACACACCCAAUCUCAUCAGAUCUCGGAAGCAAAGCAGGGUCGGGCCUGGUUAGUACUUGGAUGGGAGACCUCUUGGGUGCCGUUGGCUAUAAAAU
ensembl:rRNA 5S_rRNA 5S ribosomal RNA